rnacentral:lncRNA from 1 species
GGGGGGGGGGGGGGGGGGGGGGGGGGGGGGGGGGGGGGGGGGGGGGGGGGGGGGGGGGGGGGGGGGGGGGGGGGGGGGGGGGGGGGGGCAGCCAGCCCGCCUACCCCGCCUACGGGGCACAGCCGGCGCCGGCCGCGCCCGCCAGGUACCGCCGCCUCCGCCUCCUGCCCCUCCUCCUGCUCCUCCUCCUGCUCCUGCGGCGCCUUUCCCUCCUCCUGCUCUGCCUCUUCUUCCUCCUCAUCGUCCUCCUCAUCAUUCUCCUCCUCCAUCUUUUCCUUCUCCUCCUUUUCCUUCUCCUUCCUCCUCCUCAUCCUUCUCCUCCAUCCACUCCUCAUCAUUCUCCUCCUCCAUCUUUUCUUUCUCCUUUUCCUUCUCUUCUUCCUCCUCCUCAUCCUUCUCAUCAUUCUCUUUCUCCUCCUUUUCCUUCUCUUCUUCCUCCUCCUCAUCCUUCUCAUCAUUCUCUUUCUCCUCCUUUUCCUUCUCUUCUUCCUCCUCCUCAUCCUUCUCAUCAUUCUCUUUCUCCUCCUUUUCCUUCUCUUCUUCCUCCUCCUCAUCCUUCUCAUCAUUCUCUUUCUCCUCCUUUUCCUUCUCUUCUUCCUCCUCCUCAUCCUUCUCAUCAUUCUCUUUCUCCUCCUUUUCCUUCUCUUCUUCCUCCUCCUCAUCCUCAUCAGUCUCCUCCUCCAUCUUUUCUUUCUCCUCCCUUUUCCUUCUCUUCUUCCUCCUCCUCAUCCUUCUCAUCAUUCUCUUUCUCCUCCUUUUCCUUCUCUUCUUCCUCCUCCUCAUCCUCCUCAUCAUUCUCCUCCUCCAUCUUUUCCUUCUCCUUCCUCCUCCUCAUCCUGGGGGGGGGGGGGGGGGGGGGGGGGGGGGGGGGGGGGGGGGGGGGGGGGGGGGGGGGGGGGGGGGGGGGGGGGGGGGGGGGGGGGGGGGGGGGGGGGGGGGGGGGGGCCUUUUCCUUCUCCUUCCUCCGGGGGGGGGGGGGGGGGGGGGGGGGGGGGGGGGGGGGGGGGGGGGGGGGGGGGGGGGGGGGGGGGGGGGGGGGGGGGGGGGGGGGGGGGGGGGGGGGGGGGGGGGGGGGGGGGGGGGGGGGGGGGGGGGGGGGGGGGUUCUCCUCCUCCAUCUUGUCUUUCUCCUCCUUUUCCUUCUCUUCUUCCUCCUCUUCAUCCUUCUCUUCCUCCUCCUCAUUCUCCUUUUUUUCUUCCUCCUCUUGUUCCUCCUACUCCUCCUCAUCCUUCUCUUCUUUUUCCGUCUCCCGUUACUCCUUCCUCCUUUUCCUCCUCCUUCUCUUCUGUAUUUUCCUUUUUCCUUCUCUUCCUCCUCCUCCGUCUCUUCUUCCUCCUCCUUUUCUUUCUCUUCUUCUUCUUUCUUCUCAUCCUUCUCCACCCCCUCCUCAUCAUCCUCCUCCAUACCUUCAUUUUCCUUCUUCCUCCUCCUCCUUCUCUGUUUCUUCUUCCUCCUGCUUUUGUUUCUCUUCUUCCUCCUCCUCAUCCUUCUCCUCCACCCCCUCCUCAUCAUCCUCCUCCAUCUCCUUUUCUUCUUCUUCCUCCUCCUUCUUCUCAUCCUUCUCCUCCACCCUCUCCUCUUCCUCUCCUCGUUCUCCUUUUUUCUUCCUCCUCCUCAUCAUCCUCCUCCUCCCUCUCCGCUUCUCGUCUUCUUCCUUUUCCUUCUUCCUCCUCCUCCCUUUCAUUCUUCUCCUUCUCCUGCCUCUUCCUCCUUCUCCAUCUCUUCUUCCUCCUCCUCCUUUUUUUCUUCCUCCUCCUCGUCCUUUUUUUCUUUCUCCUUCUCCCCUUCCUCUUGUUCCUCCUACUCCUCCUCCUCCUCCUCCUUCUCUUCUUUCUCCUCCUCCUCCUCUUGUUCCUCCUUCUCCUUCUUCAUCUCUCGUUCCUCCUCCAUCUCCUCCUCCUCCUCUUUGUCCCCAGCCCCUCCUCCCCGCCUGUUGCUGUGCUCCAGCACGGUGAGUCAGCGCUGUUCCUGCAGGACAGGGAGCCAAAUCAGCCUCUCAGGGCACAGCAGAGUGUGAGUCCUGUCUGCUCCCCAGUCACGGGGUCAGGCAGGAUGCUGGGGUGGAUGCACAGGCUGCAAAACAUUUCCUCUAAAUCUCACCCCUCUGGGCGCUGCCCGUCAUCUAUUGAAUCAAAUUGUUUGCUCAGAGGAUAUGAAAAAUUCAGAAUACAUAAUGGAAACUUGUUUAGAAGUGAGUGA